rnacentral:rRNA from 1 species
CCUACGGGUGGCAGCAGUGGGGAAUAUUGCGCAAUGGGCGAAAGCCUGACGCAGCGACGCCGCGUGAGGGAUGAAGGUCUUCGGAUCGUAAACCUCUGUCAGCAGGGAAGAACGGUCACUGUGCUAAUCAGCAGUGAAUUGACGGUACCUGCAAAGGAAGCACCGGCUAACUCCGUGCCAGCAGCCGCGGUAAUACGGAGGGUGCGAGCGUUAAUCGGAUUUAUUGGGCGUAAAGCGCUCGUAGGAGGUAUGUUAAGUGAAGGGUGAAAUCCCGGCGCUCAACGUGGGAACUGCAGUUGAAACUGGCAGACUUGAGUGUGUGAGAGGAUAGUGGAAUUCCAGGUGUAGGAGUGAAAUCCGUAGAUAUCAGGAGGAACAUCAGUGGCGAAGGCGGCUAUCUGGCACAUAACUGACGCUGAGGAGCGAAAGCGUGGGUAGCAAACAGGAUUAGAUACCCUAGUAGUC